rnacentral:lncRNA from 1 species
AAAGCAGGGGCCGAGGAGCCAGCAGUGGUCCAGACAUGCGCCUGCUCAGACCACAGACCGGUACCUGAGGUGACCCUUGUUGGAUUUGUAGCUCCAAGUGAGACUACGGUCCCUGGAGGCUCCAAGUGCGGUCAGGUUCCUGGAUGCUUCUGCCUCUCCCGGAUGACAAAACCAACUGGAGUUGAAUGGGCUAUUCCCUAGAAUCACCGGCAGCUCAGGCAGGAUACCCUCUCCCAAGCGACAGCUUAUACUUUUCUGAAACAAAGGUCCCUGAAGAUGGCUCUGAUGGUCUUCUUGUAACAGAUGGGAGCAGCUCCCCAUUGUCAUGUUCCAGCACUUACUUCUUACUGGCGCCUGAGACUAGAGGAGGACUGCGUACAGGAAUGGGGCAUGUGUCAAGUCUGUCAGGAGAGGAGCUGUCGCAAAGCCCGUGCACUGUUUUGCAGGAAACAGCCAGGCUCUGGCAAGGCUGCAGCGGAAAUGGAGUCUAGAAUUGUCCCUGGAUUUGUUGUUCUUUUCUCCUGGAAUCCUUGCAGGCUGCAUCCUAGCAAUUGCAAAAGUGGGUGUUCAUGGGUUGGGAUACCAGGAGUUUCUGGCAAGCACCCUUUAGAAGCAAGACUGAAAGGACAUGUUUGAGGUCCUUCUGUGCUAAGACUGCCUGCCAUUGAAGUACUGACUCCAACCCCCUCCAGGCUACUGUUUGCAGCCCAGCUCAGUACUCAAGUCAGGAGCAAUGCCAUAUCUGGGAGUAUGCUGUCAUAAAGACUUCUAUACAAACCAGAAAGGAAAAGAUACUGGGACCCAACUGACCCACUGCAGUGACUCAGAACACUGGGAAGGACCUCAAUCUUGGAAACUCAAGAAGAUGUCCUGAGUUUGCUCUCUGAAACCUCAGUUGUAUGGUGGUCAGACUUGCCCAAUGGGAAUCUGACAGAAUCUGGCUUCAAUCUAGUCAUUUGCUAAUUCCCCAGUGGGAAUUUUCUCUUCUGCUGACUGGAUUGACUUUAGGACUGUUUGGCUUGUAGAAUUUGUCUUCUGGGGUCUGCUAAUAGAGGUCUAUUCUUGGCAGAGUUUCUUUUCCAAGCAGCUGUUUUGAAGAAAGCUGACAUCACCCUCGGCCCUGAGAUUUGAGACUGACUAUGUUGCAUCUCCUCAUCUGCCUGGAUUACUCAGUUCACUUGGCUCUGCUGGCCUCCUUCAGAGAGAUGCACACACACACACACACACACACACACACACCUGGCUGGGAGGCCACCAUGAAUUCACUAAACACAGAUGAAAAUGUGAAUUCUUAGCAUGAUAUUUGUGGCCCCCAAACCCCUUUUCUCUGUCAGAAAUGAAAGUUACCAUGCCGUGGGCCCUGGAGAGAAGCCAGCUGAACUACAGGACAGGUCGCAGGUGCUGGCCUCUCACUGCUGUGUGUGAGACAUCUAGAACAGCCUGGCGUGGAGUAGACACUGCACACAAUGGCUGCAAGUUGCAGACCAGCACUGACCUGAGAAAUGGCAGUUUCCUGCCCUAGCCUCUUCUCUCUGCCUGUCUUCAUUCAUGUGACAAUGCUGAAGAAAGGGUUCGGGAGCCAUCAAACCCUCUCUUUACCACCGUCUCACUACCAGGUAUGGAGGGUGCUGGGGAUAUAUGUUUUUCACUCAGAGGGGCCUGGCCCCUGGAGUGACACCUUACACAGGUGGAACACGUUUUUCAUGCCAGUUAGUGUCAAAUAGAGAGCUCCCUAAGCCUCAGCCUUGUCACUGUAGGAAGCCGUUUAAUACUGGACUCCUCUCCCUGCCCCCUUUUUUAUUUUGUAUGUAUAUGGGUGUUUGCCUGCAUGUGUAUCUGUGCACUAUGUGUGUGUGUGUGCAGUGCCUACAGAAGCCAGAAGAGGGCAUCAGAUCCCCUAGGACUGAAGCUAUUGAAAGUUGUGAGUUGCCGUGUGGGUGUUAGGAAUUGAACAUGGGUUCUCUAGGUGAGCAGCCAGUGUUCUUAACUGCUGACAUUUCUCCAGCCCUACCUUAAAAAAAAAAAAAAAGAUUUCAUUUUAUAUUAUUAGUAGAAAAUAAAGGGUUUGUCUCAU